rnacentral:rRNA from 1 species
AGAGUUUGAUCCUGGCUCAGGAUGAACGCUAGCGGCAGGCUUAACACAUGCAAGUCGAGGGGCAGCGAGAUCAAAGCUUGCUUUGAUUGUCGGCGACCGGCGCACGGGUGCGUAACGCGUAUGCAACCUACCCACUACAGGGGGAUAACACUGAGAAAUCGGUACUAAUACCCCAUAAUAUUUUGGAAGGCAUCUUCUGAGGUUGAAAACUCCGGUGGUAGUGGAUGGGCAUGCGUUGUAUUAGCUGGUUGGUGAGGUAACGGCUCACCAAGGCGACGAUACAUAGGGGGACUGAGAGGUUAACCCCCCACAUUGGUACUGAGACACGGACCAAACUCCUACGGGAGGCAGCAGUGAGGAAUAUUGGUCAAUGGACGCAAGUCUGAACCAGCCAUGCCGCGUGCAGGAAGACGGCUCUAUGAGUUGUAAACUGCUUUUGUAUGAGGGUAAACCCGGGUACGUGUACCCGGCUGAAAGUAUCAUACGAAUAAGGAUCGGCUAACUCCGUGCCAGCAGCCGCGGUAAUACGGAGGAUCCAAGCGUUAUCCGGAUUUAUUGGGUUUAAAGGGUGCGUAGGCGGUUUGAUAAGUUAGAGGUGAAAUGUUAGGGCUUAACCCUGAAACUGCCUCUAAUACUGUUGAGCUAGAGAGUAGUUGCGGUAGGCGGAAUGUAUGGUGUAGCGGUGAAAUGCUUAGAGAUCAUACAGAACACCGAUUGCGAAGGCAGCUUACCAAACUAUAUCUGACGUUGAGGCACGAAAGCGUGGGGAGCAAACAGGAUUAGAUACCCUGGUAGUCCACGCAGUAAACGAUGAUAACUCGUUGUCGGCGAUACACAGUCGGUGACUAAGCGAAAGCGAUAAGUUAUCCACCUGGGGAGUACGUUCGCAAGAAUGAAACUCAAAGGAAUUGACGGGGGCCCGCACAAGCGGAGGAACAUGUG